GUGUGGGCAGGAGUCAAGGGUGAAAUGAGGGCAGGACAUCUGCGGUUAACACCCCCACCCCCUGUCCAGCCUGGACAGGCUGGGCAGCUGCAGCGCAAUGCCCACACUGGCAGGCUUCAGCUCAGUCCCUGCUGUGUGUUCACGUGCUCACUGGCUCCUUGGUGCUUGUGCGGCAGCUGUGCCGUGGCACUGUGCGCGGGACACUGCUGAGACGUCCCCGCUCAGCCAGGCGAGAGGGAGGGCAGAGCACAGAGCUGCCAGGGGCAGCGACCCCUCCAAGGUCAGGGCCGCAGCUCCCAUCUUAAGCCCCCUUUAACCCCCGGACCACCUCACUGCUGUCCCCCGCUCACAGGCACUUGCCAAGCGCUGAGCGCACAUUGUUCUCGGUAUUCCGCUCUUUCCCGCAGCCUUUCUCUCCUCCCUCUCUCCUCCCUCCCAGUCCCUCUCCCCUCCCUUCCCCAGGUCCCUCCUUCCCUCGUCACCAAGUGGUGUAUAAAUCCCCUUCUCCAGCGUAUCCCCCAUCACGGGAGACCCUGGUACUUUGGCCCCCUGGGCAGGAGCUGCAGCCUCCGGCCUUUGGAUCGCUGGGACUUUGCGCUCCCUCCUGGACCCCUCGCUCUCAGCCCCGCUCACUCUCCAGAGGGGUUUCUGGACAUUUCCGACUGGCCUCUUCCCUUCGCCUCUCGCUCCUGUACCAGGAUGUCAGAAAAACGCGUAGAGGAGGUGCCAGCGGAGCUGAGCACCAAGGAAAUGAAAGAAAAGAAGGAAAAACUAGAGGAGAAAACAGUCCACAAAGAAAAGAAGAAGGAGAUAGUAGAGGAUGAGGAAAAUGGAGCCGAAGAGGAUGAGGAAGAGAAUCCUGAUGAUGUGGAUGAAGAUGAAGGUGGUGAUGAGGAUGAAGAUGGAGAUGAGAAUGGGCAAGAGCAGGAUGGACAUGCAGAAAAACGAUCUGCAGAGGAAGAAGAGGAUGAAGUGGAUCCAAAGAGACAGAAGACAGAAAACGGAUCUUCAGCUUGAGUCCUCCCUUCCCAUCUUUUCUAUUCCGUCCAUCUCUCCUCCUCCAUUCCAGCCCAUGCUUGCACUGUCCAUUAGCCUCUGGCUUCACACAGUCUCAGAUGAGGAAAGAUUAGAAAUGCUCUCAGACAGGGAAGACAGCAGUUUCCUUCCCACCUGAAGAUCUAGCCCAUCUACAACAUUCCCCAGCUGAAAUUAUUCCAGUCUCUCACAUCCUUUCAACUGUGCCCCACUUACAAAUGAUCCUUUUCCCUCAAGAAUCUCAUCUUUUCCUGUCUCCCAGUAAGUAACCUUACCAGGCCCAUAUGCCUAACCCUUCACAUGGCAAACAUGUCUCAUUCUUUUUCACUUGCCCUCUCUUUUCACGAAUAUGAUUGAGAUUCUUACUGGCUUCUGCUUCUCAGACCUGCUGUCAAAUAUCCUCCCUGGAUUCAGGAGGCUGUGGGCACAGAUCUCAUGGUGCAUUUUCCAGUCCUAGGCCUCCUAUCAUCUUCUUUCCCGUUGAACCCUGAGAGACAAAGAAAAAGAAUAUUACAAGCAAAUAAUGUUUCUAUUAAACCACACACAGAGACAGAAUUUAUUUUAACCUUUUUUUUAAGUUUACAUGACAAACAGCAAGCUGGCCCUCGUGAAUUUUUUCAGAAGAUAAAGGUUGGUUUUAUAUAUGAAUUUCAUCUGAACUGCAUAUUUUUUUAAUUUGGAGGCUUUUUAAAAACAAAUCAAGAGAUAAACAAUUGAGGACCAAACUUUGAUUUCCAUUUUUCCCUUCAGAUUCUCUUGUGACCAUUUUUUUGUAAAUUAAAGGCAAUACAGCCACAGCAUUUUCUAUGGCACAAACAUCACGAGGAUGAUAGUUAUAAAUAUAUAUAUUGUUUUCAACUAGCACUGUAAAUAAAAGCAUUUAAAAAUAUUUCA
ensembl:lncRNA